rnacentral:ncRNA from 1 species
CCGUCUCAUAAGGGGUGCUGUAAUAGGCUGAGAUUAUACCCAUAGAACUUGAGCGGGUAAUGCCGUUCAAGGAAUGAAACUAAGCGUAA